AGCCAAUCUGUUGGGAAACCAGAGAAAGACAGAGCACUCAUUUUGGGGAGUCACCAAGAAAUAAAGGAUCUAAGGAUUCUGAAAACAGAAUUCAGCAAUGUAAGCAUGAUCUGGCUUGAAUACUAAAUAAACAAACUACCCUCGGCUCAGUUUGCAGAUAAGCUCCAAGAGGUAUGAAGAAGAGGACCAUCGAUGUUAAAAUUCCGUGCACCAAGCUUACGAAGAAUCUCUUAUAGUUGAAGAGUAAAUCUCUUUGUCCUACUAUGUACAGCCCAGGGAAGCGGAGGCUCAGUUUGUCACUCACAUCCUUAAAGGGAAAACACCAUUAGCUGCGUAUUCGCCAGGAAUCGAAGAACUCCGAGAUCCAUUACAGUUUAUACCUCACAAAGAGUGUCAGCUUACUCAGUUUUAGGAAGGCAAAAACUCGACAAGGUGCUCGGUCUGCCCUGACGUGUCCCUGUGAGCACGAGGUCCCACCUGGUCAAGCAGCCCCAUGAGGAGCACCGGCAGGCUGGAGUAGAGCACGUUGUAGAGCGUGAUGAACCAGUCCUCGUACGCCGUCUGUGGGGAGGUUAGAGUCUGCGUCACAAACCAAGACCUGCUGCUGGCCUAGUCCAUGCACAUGCAUUCUUUCUCAACUGGGAGGCCCCCAGCAUGUGUGGGGGCUUCUGCCAGAGUAAAGCCCACUCCUCUGCAUCUGCAGAAGGUGUGAGUUGGGUUCAACGGAACGGGCAGAAUCAACACUCCGCAGAACAGACCUUCCUUCUAAAACGAAUGGGAGAACAUACACCAACACAUUUUUUGGGAAGGGAGUCCGUCCAUUCUAUGUGAAGAAUGCUGGAAAAUAUGUUGGUGCCGAUCCUUUCUGUAUCCCUUUGUUAACAAAUUCGGAAUACAUAAACCCACAGACCGGCCCAAGAAGCACAUAAGAGUACCCAUUGAAGAAGGAGUACCAGAAAUGAACCAACGUAAAUGCGAAGUUUUUGUAAAAGAAAUAUCGAAGGAACUUGCACAUCCUUAUGUAAGACCACCGGCCGUGUACCAACAGCAGUCUCUGCAAGUAUCUGAACUGGGCAAAGGAGUAGUCACUUGACAUGACAGCUUGCAUGCCUUCUUGUCCACUUAUUCCAACACCAAUGUGGGCAGCUGUGGGGCGGAGGGAGAAGAUAUGUGAAUCAUAAGCUAAUUUUAAAGCAAAACAUGGAGAUGAUAAAAAUGUUUCCACAGCAAAACAAAGAAACAGACAUUCUUGGAGCAAUGAAAACUCUUGCUCACCAGCCCCGCCCCAGCUUCUGAACUCAACUUUAUGUCAGAGAUACAAGUGGCUAAAAAAAGCACAUGGCAAGGGCUCUGAGGAGUAUUUGUGGAAGGAUCUCAGGUGGGUGGUAAAUUCCAUUUGGGUUUUCUGCCCAGCUCAUAAGCCAUCCUUCCCACCCACGGAGGGAACCCAAGGAAUCCAUGCAUACUGUGUGUCCCUGCCUCCCUGGCCACAGCUGAGUCAGCUCUGGGCUGGUAGGUCAUUGGUAGCAUAUACAAAUUGGCUCUCCCAACCUUCAUGUCACCCUUGUUCUAUUGGAAAGGUGGGAAAGCAAAUAAAAACCUAACACUGCUCUGACUUCCUCGCAGCAAGGUUCUAUUUGUGAAUUGGGUUCCAUCGUUGCGAGCCACCUGGAGCCCAGCAGCCCUUCCCUUUGUGGCAUUUCUGCAGUAGAGUUCAUAUCCUCUCUCCAGCUGCCUGGAGGUUGACGGACAAAAGUUUUUCAGCUGAAAAGCCCUUCACAGAAGCCUCAAAGUUAGAAGCUCCUCUGGUGCGUGACUAAGACAUUCGAGGCUCAGCCUGGCACCUGCUUCUUCCUGCUUAAAGUACCCAGGGGGGUCUGUUUCUUAUACUAUCCUUGGCACAGAACCCAAGCUGGACCAAUCCGUGUCUCUUUCACAUUUUGGAACUAAGAUUUGGGUUUGUGUUUGUAAUUUUAACUUCUAAAUUCUUGAGUUGUGGGACAGAUACUGAGAGGCAGAAGUAAAGUGGUCUAGAAGGAGGAUUGAACAGAAGCUGGGUUCCUGGUUCCAGCAUCUUCCUGAGGUCUGGCUUUUUGGGAGGCAUGAAACAUCUUUAGAUCUUUUAAAAUAAAUUUCUUUUUGUCUUAAGCUUGCGUUAGCUGUUCUUUAAUAUUUACAAUCAAAAGUGUUUUAACUAAGAUACUAGUUUAUAUAGUAUAUGAUAACUAUAAUAUACUUAGUUAACUAAGAUAUUAAACUUCUAGCAUUUAGUCAUGGCCCACCGUGACCUUAAGAGACACAUUUUUUUUUUUUUUUUUUUUUUUUGGCUGCAGAAGGUUUCCAGAAUGGAUAAAAAUGAAAGUGACAGUUCUGUCCAUCCUUCCAAUAGUCACUUAGUCACAGUUUCAACUUAGCAAAUUACGAAUUUUUAUAGGUCUUAAGAGGCACGGAACUAAAGACAUACUGAGAUCUGCAGAGAAUGUGUGUUGGAGAACAUAACCUAUUAUUACUCAGACCCAGAGACGUGACUGCCAACUCAGCAGGGUUUCCAACUGAAAGCGGCUCCAAAAAUCCUGCCUUAGUGGCAGAGUACAGGGUCUGGCAAAUUCAAGUGACACAGUGACUUGGCCAGACCUACGUUUUCAGUAACACUUUGCAAUUCUAAAAAUUAGAAUGAAUUGCAUGUCUCAUUCAAUAUUUAUGACUUCUUUUUAAACACAUAAAUAAUUCUUAUGACUAGUCGUGGUUGCCAAACUGUGCCUUCCUGCCGAACCAUGGGCUACUUUUCCGAUCAAGCAACAAAGGGAGAUGUUGAGGUUCUCUCGGAGCCAAGGAGAAGGAGCCCCUGAUGUCCAGCCCAGCCUUUUCGCUGAGCACACCAAGGACAGUGUGUGAAAGAACACAGCCACAGUUCACAGGGGAUUCAAGGCAACCAAGGAGAUGUACUUUAUAGGGCUACAUGUUUUUUUCCCUAUAAUCUAAAUAUAGACACCUAGAUUUUCCUGAAGUUUCAAAAAUGUGGUUUCAGAUGCCUCACUGGUAGGCUCCUUCAUAGUUCCUUAACAGACUCAUCAUUUCCUCAAGCCUUUGUGGCUCUGUCUCCCCUCUCAUGCUUCUUGCUUAUUCUUAGGGUCUUAGACCAAGAAAAAACACCACCCACCAGCCAGCAGACAUCUUCAGGCCCAAGAGAGGGAGACAGGGGAGCCCAUGAGAGUCCUUGCGUCCUUGCUAGAGGCAAAAACAUGGGGGGGGUGGGGCGGGGGGUUGCAGUUCCUUCCACUUUUACUAAAUGUGGAACAUGCUAACAAAUGGCCAAGUUUUUCUGACACUUAAAUUUUACUGUAUUUCUUUAUAAACAAAUAUAAUUUCUGUAUAUUGUAUUUUAUACAGGUGAAAGCAAUGCCAGUUUUUCUAAAAUACAAAAAGCCACUAUUAAUACUUGGGUAAAGCUAUGGACUUCCGGGGACACCUGAGUUUCUUUGAUUUGCACCCCAGAUGGAUGUUCCCUGUUAUAUAUAAAAGCACCGACCAUAUAACAAAACUUAAUAAAAUUCUUAGAACAACUUAAGAAAA